AGGGUGACGUUUCGAAAGCGCGCUGUAGGCCGUGCUGGGACUCAAGAGCCCGAAAACUGAUUUGAGGGGCGUCUUGACCGAAGACAAAAUAAUACCUAAGGCUUUCAUUUGACAAUACUGAACACCCCUAGAUGACCAGCUCCUGGAGACGCAAUGGAGAAUCUGAAUGUCCCCUCGCUCCCCUGGAGUCUGUAUGCUGAGAAAGGGGCUACAGACAAUAGCCAUGCACUCACCCAAAUAAGACAUUCUUCAUGAAUUGUGAUUCAACUGAAAGCCCCCCUUAAGUUUACUGUCAGGGUGCUGAUACACAGAGCUACUCCUAGAAGAUUGAGGGUACAGGGUUUUGGCCUCCUGCGUUCUCCAUGAUUCCUCACAGCACCCUGAGACGUCAGACGUGCUCAGCACUCCCUACCAGGGCUUGUUGGUUCUGUCGCCCUGGUUCAGUUUUCUUUCAUAUCAGGAAGGAGCAAGGUGGGAGGACCACCUCUCCUCCAGGCAUGGACAGAGGGCCAGAGUCCAUUCACAGCUGUGGCGGCAUCGAAAGGGAGCGGGGAAAAUGCUUAGUUUGGCGGAAAAGGGGCUUUGUGAGACUGACACAUGGCAUCUGCCCAAGUUAUGAGCUGAAGAAACAGCUUCCAUGGCCCUGCCGGAGGGACCUCUGGUUCUGCAUCAUUCUCUCCAGCCCUGAGCUUCAUCAAGAAAAUAAGCAUCAGCAGUAUCAUCUCCAAAUGAAUUGAUGGCACAUUAUGUCACCUUUCUUUCCUUCAACAUCAAAAUCAGACAAGACUAUUCUAAGGAGGGAGCAGUAAACAUUAACCCCACGUAACAGAUAAAAGACUAAAAGAGAAAUUAGAUAACUGGUUUAAGUGACACAGGGAAUCCGUCAUAACUCUGGUGACAUGGCUUCUUAUCAUGCCUGGAAUGUAGUUACUGAUUUACACGUUGUAAAUUUCUCAGUACACGAUGUACAAGUGGCUACUCCGUACUGUCUGUUUAUUCAGACUAAUAGUAAUCACGAUAAUAUGCCAGGCACAGUGGCUCACACCUGUAAUCCCAGCACUUUGGGAGGUGGAGGCAGGAGGAUUGCUUGAG